rnacentral:lncRNA from 1 species
UUUGUCAUUAUCUAUUUUUUUAAUUGUCUUGUGCUAUUUUUUUGUUUGUUUUUUUCUCUGAGCUUCAACAGAAUGCUGAAACUUGUAUAGAAGAGCUUGAUGAUCGAUAGUGAAAGAAGAGUUUUCGUGAGUGGUGUCGCAACCCUUCAACGGUUAGGCUUUAUGAGAUAAUAUGAGUAUAUCACAAAUAUGAUUUUGAAACAAAUUUAUACUCGAUGGUUCCAAAGAUACGAUAGUAACUCAUUUUGUUUAU